GAAAAGUUUAGUGCGGAAGAAGUUGUGAAAAUGUGGAGAUGAAAACCUAAGAAGCUAAAAAUAGAUGCAAGAAAAUGUAUCAAAUUAACCAACAUGUUAGCUGCUGUUAGCCGCUGCACGUGAACAGUAGUACCAGCAACAACUAGUAACCAGGCCUCACAGUCAUAGGAGGCUCCUGCUGCUAGCACCAGCUGUAGAGAAGGGAGGAAGAUGAAAUUAACGUAAGAACAUAGCUGCGGGGACGUAAUUCGGAAGAGUGAUUGAUUCAAGGACAUUCAGGGUUGCAGCUGUAAUACCCCCUUGGCUCUGGAACAAUCUGCCAGAUCGGGGAGGAAUAAUGGGCACGGUUUGGAUGCUUGUGUUGCUUGCAGUUCAGGUAUGUCGCGCAAGUGGUGGAUAACGUAGCACUGAGCUGCCCACCUCCAGCAGAGACGAGAAGAACAGGCUGAAGAGGUCUUCCCAGAGUACUUCUCUUGAAAUCCACACUCACAUUGUUUUUAAAUCAAAUACAUCUUUUGAUUUAAUUGAUACUCAUUCAAGUGACAACUCUUGACGGACUGGAGCUGGAACGGAUUUUUUUCACACUCCCCAACUCCUGUAAGGAGACGCUGAUGGAAGCUCGCCUUUAAAAUACAACAUCAGCUCAAUGAAACAUAAUUCCAAAAGAAGGGUGCACUGUUAAAUGUUGACUUUAGAAACAUUUAAUCUCACCUCAAGGUUCAAUAAGUACACAAGCUAUUCUGGAGCAACAAAAGCAACACUUUUCCCCUCAUGUUUAGUUUAAAUUUGAGCUGGAAAUGUUACUGUUCACCUUGAAAGCAGUAGUUUAUUUGAACGACUAAGGUAUCCAUGAGAAGAAGAAGAAAAAACUCAAAGACUAAGACCUUGUGGUGAGAUCGGAAUAAAAAAAGUUACAAGAACUUAUUUUGUCUUUGCUUCUUUCUGGUCUUGUUUAAAACACAUACAGAUGGGCAGAGUUCUCAAACCAUGCUGAAUUAGUACUAGUUCAUUCCCAAAACUGUUGAUUAGUCCUGACCUUAGCUUAGCUUAAACUUAGUGUCACUUCAAAAGAAAAUAUUAUUUCAGCACUAAAACCGCUGAUAUGUGAUAUCAGCAUCUACAGCCUCACAUUGAUGCAACCAUGCAGGUGAUCACCUUUAAAAAGUCAUUUCUCCUAACCACCCGAUUGU